rnacentral:lncRNA from 1 species
GAGGGAUAAGGGAUAUCAACAUAGCCAAAAAAAAAAAUUUAAGAUAUAUAAACCAGGAUAAUAAUACAAAAAGGGAAGGGGGAUUCCAAAAAAUAAAAAAGAGGUCGGACAACCUACCUGAGUUUUUUUGCAACAAGUUUUCAAAAGCUCACACCAUCAUCUUUUAACCAGAUUCAUCAAAAAGGUCUGGUCAUUAACAUACCAACAGAGAGAAAAAAACAGGGAUAGCAACACAAAAUCC